GUCAUCUGCCAGUACACCUCUGUCACCUGGACAGGGCACCCGCUUUAACUCCUGGAGGCUGAGACCCACACUAAGACAGGUAGUGGAAGAAAAAAUGAAGAGUGGUGUUCUGCUGGACCUUGUUCUUCCUAACAAGGAAGGGCUGGAUGGGGAUGUGAAGGCUGGGAAUAACCUUGUAUGUAGCAACCAUGAGAUAGUGGAGUUAAGGAUCUUCCUUAACUUCUUCCUGGGAGAAACAGAGUAACAAGUAGAAUUUAAAACCUGGACUUCAGAAGAGAAAACUUUUACCUUUUCAAGGA